rnacentral:rRNA from 1 species
AUGGGAAAAAGUCCGGAACAAAAGUUGCUAAGAGCCCUAGGGAAAUUGCCUGUCUGCUCAACUGUACUUGCCCAACCUGAGGCCACAAGUGUUCCAGAAGCAGUAGAAGCAACUGGCCAGGGGAACACUUCCCAUUUCUCUGAUGUGGAGGAGCGGUACCAUGAAUUCAUGCGUGUUAGUGGGAAGAGAACCAAUGCACUAGAAAUCAAUGUUCUAGAUGUGAGUGAGCUGUUUGCAAGCCCAAGGGUAAUUGAAUAUGGCAAAUACUUUGUCACAGUCAGGGUGCUCGCAAACUCAAUGAAGAAGGAAGGUUUUGUCUUGAGCCAUGUAAUGGAAGUUGGUAUAGAGAUUAUAAUGAUGAACUUGCCACCAGAGUCAAAGAAGCUCGUGAUGCCCGUCAGGUUCUCGGUUCAGAUGCAAAACAUGUAA